rnacentral:lncRNA from 1 species
GGAACAGGCAGCUCUAUUCUAAGAAGUAAGAAGUUCAGUCACAGGAUUUAUGCAACAAAAAUUUAUUGUACAUUGACAGAAUGUCAGAACAGGAAGUGAUGUCAGAGACCACCUUCUCAAAUCCCUCAUUUUAUAUUCAAGAAACUGAGCCUGAAAGGGAGGAGACAGUUCCUUGGGGUCACACCCUGGUUACUGACAGAGAAGAAUUGGACCAGGGGUUCCUGACACCCUGUCCAGGAUGGCUCCACCCCACUGUGCUGCCUCUUGCCAAGGGUAGUCCCUCUCAGAUUGGAUGCCAAGGAACGGAUGAUUUCCCCCUAAAUUUUAAGCUCAAGCUUCACUCUUAACCAAGAAUUUAAUUUUAAGAAUCUUCUGCACUGUGGUUUUUUUCUUUCUUUUUUUUUUUUUCCGUUUUUUUUUUUUUCCCUCCUCUUGGCCUGGAGGCAAUAUUGAAGCAAUUCCCUCUGUGGGCACCAAGCUCCAUACAUAAACACAUGUCUACCAUACACACACAAGCACACACAUUUGUCAUUCCUUCCCAGAAUGACUUAAUGAUUUCCAUGUAACCAAUAUGUUGCAGCUGUUGGCUUCCUUCAGGCUGAAGCACUCAGAAAAUCAUCAGUUAUCAAGUUGCCUUCCUGCCACUGAUUUUCCCAUCCCGGAUACAUUUCCCCGGUCUUCCCUUUUAAAAAACAAAAAAACAAGAUGGAAAUUGCAAGAUGGGAGACCGAGAGAUGCAGUCCAAGAUACCCAGAUGUUACUCACUGGAGGAAUGACCAGGAUCCACUUUACAUCUAACUCUGCCCAAAAGGUGUCAGCCUUGUCCAAAUCAGCCAGAGAAUAAAGGUGGAGGAGAUGGAAAAUUCAGAUCUGAGUCUGGCGCCCACUGGAGAAUACUAUGGCCCUUAAUCUGGGUUUUCACUGGACUUCCAGCUCUGACCAGGUAGGGGGCAUGAGUUUCAAUUAUGUGGCUGGGGGCAGGGUCCACUCCUUGGAAUAAGCAGGUUCAACCUGCUUCCCAUCUCCUUCCAGCCAGGCCUUUCCACCUCUGUGGUUGGAGC